rnacentral:rRNA from 1 species
UAGGAACUUCCACAAUGGACGCAAGUCUGAUGGAGCAACGCCGCGUGAGUGAAGAAGGCUUUCGGGUCGUAAAACUCUGUUAUUGAAGAAGAACGUGUGUGACAGUAACUGGUCAUGCAGUGACGGUAUUCAAUCAGAAAGUCACGGCUAACUACGUGCCAGCAGCCGCGGUAAUACGUAGGUGGCAAGCGUUGUCCGGAUUUAUUGGGCGUAAAGCGAGUGCAGGCGGUCUUUUAAGUCUGAUGUGAAAAGCCUUCGGCUUAACCGAAGAAGGGCAUCGGAAACUGGGAGACUUGAGUGCAGAAGAGGAGAGUGGAACUCCAUGUGUAGCGGUGAAAUGC